rnacentral:rRNA from 1 species
GUCCACGGCCAUGCUAUCCUGAAUGAGCUGGAUAUCUGAACUCGGAAGCUAAGCAGGGUCGGGCCUGGUUAGUACUUGGAUGGGAGACCACCUAGGAAGACUAGGUGCUAUAGGCA